UACGUAGGUGGCAAGCGUUGUCCGGAUUUACUGGGCGUAAAGAGCGCGCAGGCGGUCGGAUCAGUCGGAUGUGAAAGCCCCCGGCUCAACCCAGGAACUGCGUCCGAUACUGGUUGGCUUGAAUCCGGGAGAGGGACGUGGAAUUCCAGGUGUAGCGGUGAAAUGCGUAGAUAUCUGGAGGAACACCGGUGGCGAAGGCGACGUCCUGGACCGGCAUUGACGCUGAGGCGCGAAAGCCAGGGGAGCAAACGGG
rnacentral:rRNA from 1 species